AUAUUGCACAAUGGGGGAAACCCUGAUGCGGCGACGCCGCUUGAACGAAGUAGGCCUUCGUGUCGUAAAUCACUUUCCUAAGGGAAGAAACGGACGGUACCCUAGGAGGAAGCACCGGCUAACUACGUGCCAGCAGCCGCGGUAAUACGUACGGGGCGAGCGUUAUCCGGAAUUACUGGGCGUAAAGGGUGCGUAGGCGGCCUUUUAAGUCAGAUGUGAAAGGCUACGGCUUAACCGUAGUUAGCAUUUGAAACUAAAAGGCUUGAGUGCAGGAGAGGAGAGUGGAAUUCCUAGUGUAGCGGUGAAAUGCGUAGAUAUUAGGAGGAACACCAGUGGCGAAGGCGACUCUCUGGACUGCAACUGACGCUGAGGCACGAAAGCGUGGGGAGCGAA
rnacentral:rRNA from 1 species